UGUCCUCUGUGCACAUGGACCAGAAUGGUGGCUUGGACUCCGAUCCGCAAGAACGGUGAAGGACCGAAAGGCUGACAAGAAAGGGAAGAAUGGGAGUCUAUAAAAAUUCUCAACGAGAACAAAGCCUAUAUCCCAAACGCAACCCCACGUCACACCGCAUGUUUUAUCAUCAAGAUGACACAAGUCAACUCAAUAAUACGGCGAAACAUUUAUACAAAACACCUAUCCCGAGC
rnacentral:lncRNA from 1 species